UACGAAUUGUGCGAACGUUAUUCGGAAUCACUGGGCUUAAAGGGUGCGUAGGCGGCUAUGAAGGUCAGGUGUGAAAUCCCACGGCUCAACCGUGGAACUGCGCUUGAAACCGCAUGGCUUGAGGAAGUCAGAGGUAAGCGGAACUGAUGGUGGAGCGGUGAAAUGCGUUGAUAUUAUCAGGAACACCGGUGGCGAAAGCGGCUUACUGGGACUUUUCUGACGCUGAGGCACGAAAGCCAGGGGAGCGAACGGG
rnacentral:rRNA from 1 species